AUUGAACGCUGGCGGCAGGCUUAACACAUGCAAGUCGAGCGGAGAUGAGGUGCUUGCACCUUAUCUUAGCGGCGGACGGGUGAGUAAUGCUUAGGGAUCUGCCUAUUAGUGGGGGACAACAUUCCGAAAGGAAUGCUAAUACCGCAUACGUCCUACGGGAGAAAGCAGGGGAUCUUCGGACCUUGCGCUAAUAGAUGAGCCUAAGCCGGAUUAGCUAGUUGGUGGGGUAAAGGCCUACCAAGGCGACGAUCUGUAGCGGGUCUGAGAGGAUGAUCCGCCACACUGGGACUGAGACACGGCCCAGACUCCUACGGGAGGCAGCAGUGGGGAAUAUUGGACAAUGGGGGGAACCCUGAUCCAGCCAUGCCGCGUGUGUGAAGAAGGCCUUAUGGUUGUAAAGCACUUUAAGCGAGGAGGAGGCUACUGAGACUAAUACUCUUGGAUAGUGGACGUUACUCGCAGAAUAAGCACCGGCUAACUCUGUGCCAGCCGCCGCUGUAAUAC
rnacentral:rRNA from 1 species